AGCAUCACUGCCUUUCCCACUAUUCUCCUGCAGAAGAGCAGGGGAAGGAAGCACCAGGGUCCAUCAUGGAGUUGUGACAACUGAGAUUCAGAGAUGUCCAAUCUACUCACAUAAAUAGCCUGGUUGAAGAUGGCUGAGCGUAAAACAGAAUGCAAGUCAGCUGGAGCACGUACUACUGGAGGCAGAGCCCCAUGAGAAGGGGCCAAGAACCCGCACCCAUCAAAAUCAAGAAGAAAGGCUGAACCCGGAGAGAAAAGGGAGCAACUGAUGUUGCCAUGCAGAUCCCUUGGUUGCUAUGAGAUGGUAACAUCACUCUGCCCCACCAUUGGCCAGUGCCUCCUCAGCUGCGGUGCCUCCCAGGCUGUGUGGUUCUCACGCGGGCCACUGACACAGAGCUGUUACUAUGGUGAACUUUACAAUUUCCUUUGAUUGGUGGAUUUCAGAAAUAGGCCAUCAGCGGAAUUCAUUAUAUUCAGCUAAGUAAAAAUGAAAAAUAAA
rnacentral:lncRNA from 10 species